UGGAUUAGAUCUGAUAAGAAAAUGGUGGAUUUGUUUUCUCAUUCUGAAGAUGCAGAUUAAUUAUCUUAUGAAAAUCCAGUGAAUAUUCUGCUCUCUCACAUUUUGACACUCGGCUCUACCUCCAUAGACCAUCUUCAAGGGAGCUUGGAUGCUUGAAUGAUUGACUACUGGACCAGGCAGCAAAUCUCAGCAUGCCUGUAACAUUUACUAAUUACUGAAGUGUAGUUAGGGCAACAGAAGAACAUGAAAAUACUUUGGAGUGCCAUUAAGCAAACAGGGUCAUUGUUCAAAAGCCAGAUGCUACGUUGUCUCUGCUUUUUAAGUUUCUGGUUCAUACUCUGUAUAUUAUUUCUUAAAUGUUUUGU
rnacentral:lncRNA from 1 species